AUUGAACGCUGGCGGCAUGCCUUACACAUGCAAGUCGAACGGUAACAGGUCUCCGGAUGCUGACGAGUGGCGAACGGGUGAGUAAUACAUCGGAACGUGCCCGAUCGUGGGGGAUAACGAAGCGAAAGCUUUGCUAAUACCGCAUACGAUCUACGGAUGAAAGCAGGGGACCGCAAGGCCUUGCGCGAACGGAGCGGCCGAUGGCAGAUUAGGUAGUUGGUGGGAUAAAAGCUUACCAAGCCGACGAUCUGUAGCUGGUCUGAGAGGACGACCAGCCACACUGGGACUGGGACACGGCCCAGACUCCUGCGGGAGGCAGCAGUGGGGAAUUUUGGACAAUGGGCGAAAGCCUGAUCCAGCCAUGCCGCGUGCAGGAUGAAGGCCUUCGGGUUGUAAACUGCUUUUGUACGGAACGAAAAGACUCUGGUUAAUACCUGGGGUCCAUGACGGUACCGUAAGAAUAAGCACCGGCUAACUACGUGCCAGCAGCCGCCGUAAAAC
rnacentral:rRNA from 1 species